rnacentral:ncRNA from 1 species
CAACCAAUGCAGUGAUGUAUGGCUAAACCUUGAGAAGUCAGCAGAGGUCAUACUAGAUUAUGGAC